rnacentral:rRNA from 1 species
UACGUAGGGACCAAGCGUUGUUCGGAUUUACUGGGCGUAAAGCGCACGUAGGCGGUUUGUUAAGUGAGAGGUGAAAUCCCAGAGCUCAACUCUGGAACUGCCUUUCAUACUGGCAAGCUAGAGUCCGGAAGAGGUAAGUGGAACUCCUAGUGUAGAGGUGGAAUUCGUAGAUAUUAGGAAGAACACCAGUGGCGAAGGCGGCUUACUGGUCCGGAACUGACGCUGAGGUGCGAAAGCGUGGGGAGCAAACAGG